GGGCGGUUAACUCAGCGGUAGAGUGCCAUCCUCACACGGUGGAAGUCACUGGUUCAAGCCCAGUACCGCCUACCA
rnacentral:tRNA from 1 species